GAUGAACGCUGGCGGCGUGCCUAAUACGUGCAAGUCGAGCGAACAGAUGAGGAGCUUGCUCCUCUGACGUUAGCGGCGAACGGGUGAGUAACACGUGGAUAACCUACCUAUAAGACUGGGAUAACUUCGGGAAACCGGAGCUAAUACCGGAUAAUAUAUUGAACCGCAUGGUUCAAUAGUGAAAGACGGUUUUGCUGUCACUUAUAGAUGGAUCCGCGCCGCAUUAGCUAGUUGGUAAGGUAACGGCUUACCAAGGCAACGAUGCGUAGCCGACCUGAGAGGGUGAUCGGCCACACUGGAACUGAGACACGGUCCAGACUCCUACGGGAGGCAGCAGUAGGGAAUCUUCCGCAAUGGGCGAAAGCCUGACGGAGCAACGCCGCGUGAGUGAUGAAGGUCUUCGGAUCGUAAAACUCUGUUAUUAGGGAAGAACAAAUGUGUAAGUAACUAUGCACGUCUUGACGGUACCUAAUCAGAAAGCCACGGCUAACUACGUG
rnacentral:rRNA from 1 species